UAAGACUUCAUCUUAGUAUUUUCCCACAUUGCUUAUGUAGUAUGCAAAGUGCUAGAACAACAAGGUUAGUAAGAAAUGAGAGUGACUGGGCUCCUUUAUCUGGGCAGGUCAGGAAAGGUUUCUCUUACCUGAUGUUUGGGGCUGAGAUUUAAACAGCAAGAAGCCAGCCCGGUAGAGUUGGGGAUUCCCUCCCCAGUGCCCUCUAUCUUCCAAUCGGAGGCCGCACUUACCCUUGGUGGGAUUCUCUUUUCUCCUCUGUAAAAUUAAGCUGUACAUCUUUUCAUUCCUGCUUCACUGUUAUUCUCCAGGCAGUAAAGUCCCACCUACCUAGUGGUGAACUGUGGCUCCUCUCCUACCUCUGGCAUAACUCAAACCCUUUCUAUGUCUCUGACCCCCUCCCCAACUUUUUAAAUGUGAAUAUUAAUUUCCUCUCAUAGCUGCUUCACUCCAUGUGUGUGUACAAAAGCAGCCCAGGGUCUGAAUCGUUCUUCACAUUUCUUUACAGGGCUCCUUAAGGUAAUACCUUACCUAUGCAGCACUUCAGGGUUCACAAAGGACUGAUAUAUUUUUUCCUUACCACCUGCUGGUGAUCAGCUUAAGGAAU
rnacentral:lncRNA from 1 species